rnacentral:rRNA from 1 species
GACAGAGGGUGCAAGCGUUAAUCGGAAUUACUGGGCGUAAAGCGUGCGCAGGCGGUUUGUUAAGUCUGCUGUGAAAUCCCCGAGCUCAACUUGGGAAUUGCAGUGGAUACUGGCAGGCUGGAGUACGGUAGAGGAAGGUGGAAUUCCCGGUGUAGCAGUGAAAUGCGUAGAGAUCGGGAGGAACACCAGUGGCGAAGGCGGCCUUCUGGACCAGUACUGACGCUCAUGCACGAAAGCGUGGGGAGCAAACAGG